UACGUAGGGCGCAAGCGUUGUCCGGAAUUAUUGGGCGUAAAGAGCUCGUAGGUGGUUUGGUAAGUCGGAUGUGAAAUCUCCAGGCUCAACCUGGAGGGGUCAUUCGAUACUGCCAUGACUAGAGUUCGGUAGGGGAGUGUGGAAUUCCUGGUGGAGCGGUGAAAUGCGCAGAUAUCAGGAGGAACACCCGUAGCGAAGGCGGCACUCUGGGCCGAUACUGACACUGAGGAGCGAAAGCGUGGGGAGCGAACAGG
rnacentral:rRNA from 1 species